rnacentral:rRNA from 1 species
GACGAACGCUGGCGGCGUGCCUAACACAUGCAAGUCGAGCGAGUGAAUCUCCUUCGGGAGUGAAGCUAGCGGCGGACGGGUGAGUAACACGUGGGCAACCUGCCUCAUAGAGGGGAAUAGCCUUUCGAAAGGUAGAUUAAUACCGCAUAAGAUUGUAGCUUCGCAUGAAGUAGCAAUUAAAGGAGCAAUCCGCUAUGAGAUGGGCCCGAGGCGCAUUAGAUAGUUGGUGAGGUAACGGCUCACCAAGGCGACGAUGCGUAGCCGACCUGAGAGGGUGAUCGGCCACAUUGGGACUGAGACACGGCCCAGACUCCUACGGGAGGCAGCAGUGGGGAAUAUUGCACAAUGGGGGAAACCCUGAUGCAGCAACGCCGCGUGAGUGAUGACGGCCUUCGGGUUGUAAAGCUCUGUCUUCAGGGACGAUAAUGACGGUACCUGAGGAGGAAGCCACGGCUAACUACGUGCCAGCAGCCGCCGUAA